CAAAACAUGCCAUAGUAUUCAGGAGCACCUGAAUAUUCCUACUCUCUCCGUUGUUGCUAGCGUGCGCAGGGGAGCAUCGGCGCACGCUAAAAAAAGGUAAAACUAGAGGGAGGUGAGGUGCUCAUCAUAGCCACCAUUGUAGGGAGCUCGCAGGUCGGACUGUGGACCAUUCGAUCAAGCUUGUCUCCUGUCAUUCGAGAAACAUAAAUUAUAUAUUUUUAGGGUUUUCGGAUCGAUUCUUCAAUGGCUGCUCCACCUGCAAGGGCUAGAGCCGAUUACGAUUACC